rnacentral:rRNA from 1 species
UGGUGACUAUAGCAAGGAGGUCACACCUGUUCCCAUGCCGAACACAGAAGUUAAGCUCCUUAGCGUCGAUGGUAGUCGAACUUAAAUGGAUGCGAUGAGCCGCAUU